ACAUCGGUGACAGGUGGUGCAUGGUUGUCGUCAGCUCGUGUCGUGAGACGUUGGGUUAAGUCCCGCAACGAGCCGCAACCCCUAUUGUUAGUUGCCAUCAUUCAGUUGGGCACUCUAGCGAGACUGCCGGUGACAAACCGGAGGAAAGGUGGGGAUGACGUCAAGUCCUCAUGGCCCUUAUAGGUGGGGCUACACACGUCAUACAAUGGCCGGUACAGAGGGUAGCCAACCCGCGAGGGGGAGCCAAUCCCACAAAGCCGGUCGUAGUCCGGAUCGCAGUCUGCAACUCGACUGCGUGAAGUCGGAAUCGCUAGUAAUCGCGGAUCAGCAUGUCGCGGUGAAUACGUUCCCGGGUCUU
rnacentral:rRNA from 1 species